CCUACGGGAGGCAGCAGUGGGGAAUAUUGCACAAUGGGCGAAAGCCUGAUGCAGCAACGCCGCGUGAAGGAAGACGGUCCUCGGAUUGUAAACCUCUGUUCUUCGUGGAGAAUAAUGACGGUAACUAAGGAGCAAGCCACGGCUAACUACGUGCCAGCAGCCGCGGUACUACGUAGGUGGCAAGCGUUGUCCGGAAUUAAUGGGCGUAAAGGGAGCGUAGGCGGGAAGCUAAGUCAGCUGUGAAAACUACGGGCUUAACCUGUAGACUGCAGUUGAAACUGGCUUUCUUGAGUGAAGUAGAGGUUGGCGGAAUGCGGGGUGUAGCGGUGAAAUGCGUAGAUAUUCGGCGGAACACCGAUUGCGAAGGCGGCCAUCUGGGCUUUAACUGACGCUGAGGCUCGAAAGUGUGGGGAGCAAACAGGAUUAGAUACCCCAGUAGUC
rnacentral:rRNA from 1 species